rnacentral:piRNA from 1 species
UGUGAUGAUCGAAAUCUGCCCACAGA